ensembl:lncRNA
UUUAAAUGGUCCUGUAUGAGCUGUAACUCAGAAUGAAAUCAUUCAUUUGUAUCAUAAAGAUAAAGACUUUUCGAGAAAGAAGAACAUAUCAGUCAAAUGAACAUGUCUCAUGGGACACUGAUCUCUCCAUACACAGAAGCAGGAACAGCUGAGAUAUUUCUGAAGCAUUUUCAUCCAAAAGUAGAAUUUACCAUCUUAGUUUCCCAAAUUUUAGAUAACUUGCAGUCCUGAAAUACUCAUUCUAAUAUUUAAGUGUGUAUAUAUGGAGGGAAAGUCUAUACCCUAAAGGGAAAUUUAAAUUUAUAAUUAAGUUGAAAAUAUCUUGAGUAUUUUAUCUCUAGUUAGUUCUCAGCCAUCAUUUGGUCAUUAAUUGAGAUUAAUUAAAAUGCAUUUUACCUGGUGUCAAGCACAUAGUAGGUGCCCAGUAAAUGGUUCUGUAAUUGAACAAAGAGACCGUGGCCUAGAUCACAGUUGUAUAAGUGGAACUGAACACUGAGCUAAAUUUUAGUUUGAAAAGAAAGUGUUUAGAUGCUAUUAGAAAAAGCUGUGUAGAAGGAAAAAGAACAAGCGAAAUGUUCACACCUGGCAAUUGAAACUUAUCAAGUGUUAACUCUUACAGUGAUUUUUUUGUUUUUAAAGGGAAGGAAUGAAAAAAAAGAAAGGAGCAUCAUCAUCAAACUGGUAUCUCCUACACUAUGCAAAAAAAAAGUGACAUGAAAGUUGUAUUAGAUGAAUAAAUUAUUGAACCCAUUAUAUGAAGCCUGUAAAUAUUCAAAGUAUUCUUUUCACCAUUGAUGUUUCUGAUUUUGCAUGGACUGAGAGAAGCAGGUGCUUCUUAGUGUUCACAGUACAUGUAAUCAUUCCAUUCUAUGUGAUGUAAAAACUCACUCAUGAGAGAACCUUCCUUUCACAGGAUAUGGAUCCAAGCUUCCAGAUCUCCCAUUUGUAGGGGAAUCUAUACCUUAGGCCCAGACAAGCUGACCAGUCUGAGGGUUAGGAAGAUUUUCUCAAAGGAGGAGAUGCCAUUCCAGUAUACAUACAGUGCCCUUAAUCCUGAUGCAGAAAUGGUUUUCAUUCUGGGGAUGGUGGCUAAUAGAAUAAAUGAAGUUCAUCUACUCAGGACUUCAUAUAGUCAAGUAUAACUGUGUCCACAUUGAAAAUAAGACAUUAAUGCCCUGAGUAUUAACGUAGCCUGUGCUCAUUACAGAAUCCAUGCAGGAGUCAGGUAAGUUAGGCUAAGAGAACCAGUGUUGAUCUGUUGUUUUCUUUUUUAUUGUACUUAUGGUUCUUUUUUGCCUUUGUGGUAGUCUUGUCCCGUGAACUGGACUGGACUUGUCAUUUCCUACACUCAUAGAUUGUUUACCAAAACUAAAUUUCAGGUUUUGCCUUACAACAUUUUACGUAUUGUAGAAAAUAUUUGAUGAGUAGCAUCUUAACUACCCUCCUUUACACUGUCCCUAUAAAUCAGGUAAAAGGAUAUUUUCUUUCACAAGUAGAGAAAUCAAGGCAUAGAACAGGUUCAAAUACUUACGCCAUUGUGCUUAUCAAUGACAUAACCUUAGAGUCUUAAUGCUAAACCUGACUCCAGAGCAGUAACAACUAGUGUCUACUCCAUACUGAAUUUUGAUCAGUUGUAUUCUUUUUUUUAAAUUGUUGUGCUGGGUGGGGGUACAUUGUAGCAUUUAGAAAAGUUCUUACAAUAUAUCAAACAUACCAUACUUGAAUUCACCACCCCCACACUGCUCUCUAUCAUUCCCCUUCCCCCAGUUGCUGAAACAGUUUCACAGUAUCAUUUUUGCAUUUACAUACAUGUGUUGUAUACAUUAUUUCCACAGUAUCCAUCCUCCUACUCCUUUCCUCCCCCAACCUCCUCCCCCCAGGGGUGCCACUCCCGCAAAAACCUAUUCUGCCCUCCUGAUCAGUUGUGUUCUUUAACUAUCAAUUUUUUAGUCCCUAAGGCAUCCCUUCACAAUACUGUGCAGAUGUGGAAUAAAGUUAAGUGAACUAAUGUAUGCA